GACGAACGCUGGCGGCGUGCCUAACACAUGCAAGUCGAACGGGGUGAUUUCCUUCGGGAGAUCACUUAGUGGCGAACGGGUGAGUAACGCGUAGGUAACCUACCUCAUAGCGGGGGAUAACUAUUGGAAACGAUAGCUAAUACCGCAUGACAAUAGGGUACACAUGUACCCUAUUUAAAAGGGGCAAAUGCUUCACUAUGAGAUGGACCUGCGUUGUAUUAGCUAGUUGGUAAGGUAACGGCUUACCAAGGCGACGAUACAUAGCCGACCUGAGAGGGUGAUCGGCCACACUGGGACUGAGACACGGCCCAG
rnacentral:rRNA from 1 species